rnacentral:rRNA from 1 species
UACGAGGGGGGCGAGCGUUGUUCGGUAUUAUUGGGCGUAAAGGGUGCGUAGGCGGUUUGGUAAGUCUUAUGUGAAAUCUAUGGGCUCAACUCAUAGUCUGCAUGAGAAACUGCCGGGCUUGAGUGUGGGAGAGGUGAGUGGAAUUUCCGGUGUAGCGGUGAAAUGCGUAGAUAUCGGAAGGAACACCUGUGGCGAAAGCGGCUCACUGGACCAUAACUGACACUGAGGCACGAAAGCGUGGGUAGCAAACAGG